UGUUGGCCUGCAAAUCGUGCCGUUCCAGUGAUGUGGAUAACAUGGUGUAAUGGCUUUGAAGAAAAAUAGUGUGAUUCAUCAAUCUGUUUCCCCGUACCUUCAAAGCUUCAGAUGGACAUUGAAUGAUGCCGCAUUAUUGUGAGAGAUCGAUAUACAUUUGAUCACAACUUGGUCAUAAUAUUGUGACUAAAGGCUGCUGUUGAUUAAUUUAUGAUAUUGUUUGAGAGUUUUAAUAAAUCAUAUUCAUGUGGUGAAAUCAAUAAAAAUAUAGUUUACUCGAAAUAUUUACCGAUUUAUAUGUUGUGAUUUUUAGUUGUGCAAUAAAUUGUUUUUUACUUGU
rnacentral:misc_RNA from 1 species